rnacentral:rRNA from 1 species
UACGGGGGGGGCAAGCGUUGUUCGGAAUUACUGGGCGUAAAGGGUCCGUAGGUGGCCAACUAAGUCAGACGUGAAAUCCCUCAGCUUAACUGGGGAACUGCGUCUGAGACUGGAUGGCUCGAGUUUGGGAGAGGGAUGCGGAAUUCCAGGUGUAGCGGUGAAAUGCGUAGAUAUCUGGAGGAACACCGGUGGCGAAGGCGGCAUCCUGGACCAACACUGACGCUGAUGAGCGAAAGCCAGGGGAGCAAACGGG